rnacentral:rRNA from 1 species
CGGCGGACGGGUGAGUAAUGUCUGGGAAACUGCCCGAUGGAGGGGGAUAACUACUGGAAACGGUAGCUAAUACCGCAUAACGUCGCAAGACCAAAGAGGGGGACCUUAGGGCCUCUUGCCAUCGGAUGUGCCCAGAUGGGAUUAGCUAGUAGGUGGGGUAAUGGCUCACCUAGGCGACGAUCCCUAGCUGGUCUGAGAGGAUGACCAGCCACACUGGGACUGAGACACGGCCCAG